rnacentral:rRNA from 1 species
GACGAACGCUGGCGGCGCGCUUAACACAUGCAAGUCGAACGGAAAGGCCUGCUUUCCCUUGUGGAUUGCGGGUACUCGAGUGGCGAACGGGUGAGUAACACGUGAGUGAUCUGCCCCCAACUUGGGUAUAAGCCUGGGAAACUGGGUCUAAUUCCCGAUAGGACUGCAGGGUGGUGCCUGUGGUGGAAAACGAUUUUCUAGUGGUUGGGGAUGAGCUCGCGGCCUAUCAGCUUGUUGGUGGGGUAAUGGCCUACCAAGGCGGCGACGGGUAGCCGGCCUGGGAGGGUGGACGGGCACAUUGGGACUGAGAUACGGCGCAGACGCCUACGGGAGGCAGCAGUGGGGAAUAUUGCGCAAUGGGCGGAAGCCUGAUGCAGCGACGCCGCGUGGGGGAUGACGGCCGUCGGGUUGUAAACUCCUUUCGACCGCGAGGAAGCCACCUGGUUGGAAGGGUGGUGACGGUAGUGGUAGAAGAAGCACCGGCUAACUACGUG